UACAGAGGUCUCAAGCGUUGUUCGGAUUCAUUGGGCGUAAAGGGUGCGUAGGUGGCAUGGUAAGUCGGAUGUGAAAUCCCGGGGCUUAACCCCGGAACUGCAUUCGAUACUGCCAGGCUAGAGUACUGGAGAGGAGAUUGGAAUUUACGGUGUAGCAGUGAAAUGCGUAGAUAUCGUAAGGAAGACCAGUGGCGAAGGCGGAUCUCUGGACAGUUACUGACACUGAGGCACGAAGGCCAAGGGGAGCAAACGGG
rnacentral:rRNA from 1 species